GGAGUUUGGACCGUGUCUCAGUUCCAAUGUGGGGGACCUUCCUCUCAGAACCCCUACUGAUCGUUGACUUGGUGGGCCGUUACCCCGCCAACAAGCUAAUCAGACGCAUCCCCAUCCCUUAGCGGUGAACCUUUGGUGUUCAUCAGAUGUCCUCAAAACACAACAUAGAGUAUUAAUCCGACUUUCGCCGGGCUAUCCUCUACUAAGGGGAAGGUUGGAUACGCGUUACUCACCCGUGCGCCGGUCGCCAGCAACAAUAGCAAGCUAUCGUCCUGCUGCCCCUCGACUUGCAUGUGUUAAGCCUGUAGCUAGCGUUCAUC
rnacentral:rRNA from 1 species